GGAAGGUGGGCAGGUUUUCCUGCUCAAGAAAGGAUCAUGAUACAACAACCUCAUAAGUCAAGAAGAGCCAUCCACCACCUCCAGCGAAGGCAGCUAUAAGGUGGCAAAACAGGGUGUCAAACAGGAAUUUUGGUAGACAUGGGAACUUGUGAUAAAGUAAGAGACUGUUGAGAGAAGGGAUUCUCAGGCGUGUUACUGCUACCUGAAGCCUCUAAAUGUCAUAGCAAAGGGCUCAAAUGAAUGAAGAGAUAGGCUUUCUGAAUUGAUUGAAAAAGUGGCCGGACUCUGGUCUUGUGCUGAAAUCAUCUGAAGAGGGUAGGAAUUGACCUCCUGAAAAAGUAAGAAGAGAUCUUGAUGCCAAAUCGCCCUUAUCAAAGGUAGGAAUUGACCUCCUGAUGAAAAAAGUCAGAAGAGAUCUUGAUGCCAGAUCACUCUUAUCAAAGAGGCAAACAAUGUCACCUAAAUCAUACAGUGAAUCUACCAGACGACAUGUCCUGACUCCAACAAAGACAAGCUGAUCAUCGAUCAGGGUAAAACCCAUCUUGCCAUGAAUGAGCGAAGGGUCAACACUGCUUUGUUUUGCGGACAAGAAGCUCAAACUCUUUUCUCAGGAAAAGAACUGGGCAAUGAUUGUGAUAACUGGGCAAUGAUUGAGCAAUGAUACCAAAAUCGCACACCGACAGUCAUAGGUGAUAGCUUUCUUAUCUGGGUCUUGCUGCCAUUGCCUCACACAAUUCAGAAUCUCUAGGGCUUCCUUUAAAGUUUUUGUCAAAUGUGGGAUCUUCUAGUCACCCACCUAUGAUAAACAUGAAACAUUAUGGCAUUCAGCUUUGAUUUUUAAAAAAUCCAGUAACUUUACUUCCAUCCUCUUAACUUCCCAUCAAAUCUAAGGCCUUGGCUGGUUGUUGUUUCUAAAUCAAAACUUACAAAUCGAAACAUGAACAAAACAUUCCAAAUCCAACAUACAAUCUUGCACUUUGUUUUAUGCACAUUUAUACGCAAGCAAGGGACUAAAUAUCAAAUGGCUAUCUACUCCGAGUGCCAGGGAUUGACCUUUAUUUGGUUGAUUGGCCUUGAUUGUUAAAUGGCAGCAAAACCAUGGGCGUACAAUCAAUUUACCUAUGACUUUUUCCGGAACCAACAGACCUAGUCAUGAUAUGAGAAUGGAAAGCUAAGAAAGAUCAGUUCUUUGUACAGGUUUGGUACUAAAUACCAAGACCAAAGAG
rnacentral:lncRNA from 1 species